rnacentral:rRNA from 1 species
AUUGAACGCUGGCGGCAGGCCUAACACAUGCAAGUCGAACGGUAACAGGAAGCAGCUUGCUGCUUCGCUGACGAGUGGCGGACGGGUGAGUAAUGUCUGGGAAGCUGCCUGAUGGAGGGGGAUAACUACUGGAAACGGUAGCUAAUACCGCAUAAUGUCGCAAGACCAAAGAGGGGGACCUUCGGGCCUCUUGCCAUCGGAUGUGCCCAGAUGGGAUUAGCUUGUUGGUGGGGUAACGGCUCACCAAGGCGACGAUCCCUAGCUGGUCUGAGAGGAUGACCAGCCACACGGGAACUGAGACACGGUCCAGACUCCUACGGGAGGCAGCAGUGGGGAAUAUUGCACAAUGGGCGCAAGCCUGAUGCAGCCAGGCCGCGUGUAUGAAGAAGGCCUUCGGGUUGUAAAGUACUUUCAGCGGGGAGGAAGGGAGUAAAGUUAAUACCUUUGCUCAUUGACGUUACCCGCAGAAGAAGCACCGGCUAACUCCGUG